rnacentral:lncRNA from 1 species
AUUAACUACCAAGCAAAGUUGAGAUCAAAUACUGCUGGCUAUGUUGUCGUCUAAGUAGAGUUGAGAUUCACAGUCAUGUCAAGAAAGUUAUGAAAGGCAUGCAUGGCAGGUGUGUCGAUGAUUGAGUUGCGAAAAGGAAGGAGGCUAAGAGUCGUAUAUGUCACACUCUUGAUGUGUGUGGUAUUGUGUCAUAUAUCACUACUCUCCAGUAAGUCUUAAUACCUGCUAUCCUACUCAUGUGAACCCACGGAGCCCUCUCUCUCUCUCUCUCUCUCUCUCUCUCACCUCAUCCCCCCACUCCUAGAAGUUGGUCAUUGGUCUCCCUUUUCCCUUUAGUACAUGGGAGAUAAGUUGUCACAAUUGUCAUGUUUACUUAAUUAUAAUUCCCACUCAACUCCCACUGCCACUUUAUUUCUCUCACUCAUUCUUUCCUUCUUUCCUUUACUGACAAUCAUAGGCACCACCUCUCUCUCUCUCUCUCCCUCUGUCUCUCUCUAGCAAUAUAAAGAAGAGGCGGUGGAGGAGGUAGAUAGCCAAGCGAGCAUGAACAUGAAUCCACAAGAUAUAUGUGACAGUGGCCUCUCUCUGGGGCUGGGCAUUG